rnacentral:rRNA from 1 species
CCUACGUGUGGCAGCAGUGAGGAAUAUUGGUCAAUGGGCGAGAGCCUGAACCAGCCAAGUCGCGUGAAGGAUGACGGCCCUACGGGUUGUAAACUUCUUUUGUCAGGGAGCAAUUGGGUCCACGCGUGGGCUUAGCGAGCGUACCUGAAGAAAAAGCAUCGUCUAACUCCGUGCCGGCAGCCGCCGUAAUACGGGGGAGGCGAGCUUUCUCCGGAUUUAUUGGGUUUAACGGGUGCGUAGGCGGAAUGUCUAGUAAGCGGUAAAAAUUCGGGGCUCAACCCCGUCGUGCCGUGAAACUGAUGUUCUUGAGUGGGCGAGAAGGAUGCGGAAUGCGUGGUGUAGCGGUGAAAUGCAUAGAUAUCACGCAGAACUCCGAUUGCGAAGGCAGCAUACCGGCGCCCAACUGACGCUGAAGCACGAAAGCGUGGGUAUCGAACAGGAUUAGAUACCCAAGUAGUC